UGGUCUCACUUGCGUCAACAACACACCGGUAGACGAGCCGGCAAUACUUGGAUUCUUGAGAGUGUUGGCGUGCCAGGUGAGGUACGUUUUCGACACCGCACCGAGCGAAAUUAUAAAGGAGCUGGGCUGUGAACUGGUCGGCAUUGUUCACUCGAUCAGUGGCAGCGGCGGUGCGACGGCUGUUUCACCGUUGAUCUGCACCUUGGAAAGAAUACUAAACACCGAGUGCUCAGUUGUCCAGUGUUAGAACAAAGGCUCCACCCUUUACAUGCACAUAUAAAUUUGAAACUCGGCAUAUCUACAGUUUAUAUAAUCAAACAACUUUAUGGAAUAAAUUGAAGAUUGUUGAAACA